AACGCUGGCAGCGUGGAUUAGGCAUGCAAGUCGAACGGGAUUCUGUGCCGCCGCAAGGCGGUGCGGAUGAUAGUGGCGGAAGGGUGCGUAACGCGUGGGUAAUCUACCUCUAAGUUGGGGAUAACUUCGCGAAAGCGAGGCUAAUACCGAAUGUGAUGGUGCUACGCAUGUGGCAUUGAUUGAAGAUGGGGAUCCUUCGGGACCUGUCGCUUGGAGAGGAACCCGCGUCCUAUCAGCUUGUUGGUGAGGUAACGGCCCACCAAGGCUUACGGGUAGCUGGUCUGAGAGGAUGGUCAGCCACACUGGGACUGAGACACUGCCCAGACUCCUACGGGAGGCUGCAGUCGAGGAUCAUUCGCAAUGCGCGAAAGCGUGACGAUGCGACGCUGCGUGGAGGAUGAAGGCCUUCGGGUUGUAAACUCCUGUCAUUCGGGAACAAUGAUUCCGCUACGAAUACUAGCGGGAAGUGAUAGUACCGGAAGAGGAAGCCACGGCUAACUCUGUGCCAGCAGCCGCGGUAAUACAGAGGUGGCGAGCGUUGUUCGGAUUUACUGGGCGUAAAGGGUGCGUAGGUGGCUUGGCGUGUCGGAUGUGAAAGCUCACUGCUUAACGGUGAAACGGCAUUCGAAACUGCUUAGCUUGAGUGCAGGAGAGGAGAGCGGAAUUCUUGGUGUAGCGGUGGAAUGCGUUGAUAUCAAGAGGAACACCGGUGGCGUAGGCGGCUCUCUGGAAUGCAACUGACACUGAGGCACGAAAGUUGGGGGAGCAAACAGGAUUAGAUACCCUGGUAGUCCCAACCCUAAACGGUGUACACUUGGUGUGGGGAGAAUUGACCCUCUCCGUGCCGGAGCUAACGCGUUAAGUGUACCGCCUGGGGAGUACGGU
rnacentral:rRNA from 1 species